UACAGCUAUUAAACAUGAGCAAGUGACCUUGG
rnacentral:piRNA from 1 species